ACCAACCCAAAAUCCCCAAAACCAUUUUGAAGCAAAAUCCCCAAACCCUUGAGCCAAAAUUCAACGACGGUGACGGACGACGAAGAUGAUCGACAACGACGACUAGCAGCGAGUGAUGACAGUCAUCAACGACGACGACGAGUAGCAGCGAGUGGCGACGGCGACGACGAGCAGCGAGUGACGACUGUAUGCCCUCUCUCUCUCUCUCUCUCUAAUUACAUCCAAAGCCCUAUCAUUUUUUUUAAUAUAUUGUCGAGAUUUGAACUAGGGUUUGGUUCUUCUACUCAAUGCUUCGUUGAAUGUCAAUCCAUUUGGGCUUUCUUUUCAUAUAAAAGCUGAUUUAGAGGGAGAAAGUUAUGGAAGAAGUUAAGGGGUCUGAUAUCGAAGCAGAAAAGGAUGGUAGAGCUUUGAAGUUCAAUGUGAAUAGUGAUAGUGCUGAUCUCAAGCCAGUUUCCCUUCAAGGGAGGAUAACUGGUCUACAAGACGAUCCUCAAUGAGACGCUGGACAGAGGAAGAGGUGGGUUGUUUGAAUCCUUUUCUUUUUUGUGUUCAUUUGGAGAUGGAGUCAAUCAAAUAGUACAAUAGCAUAUAUAUUGUUUCUUUUAUUAUGGGAAGAUCAAAAUUAAAGAAAAAAAUGGGAAAUUUACAAUUCAGUGUAAAAGAUCAUAAAUAAUUACAAAUACAUAGGGCCACAACUUUCUCUGUACAACAAAACCACAGCAAAAGUUGCAAAACCCCCAACUUUUGGUAAAUAUUUUCCAAAUAGUACAACUUUUUGUAGUUUGUUAUAUUGUUAUAUGUGUUCUGAAUUGAUAAGGGAAAAUGGAACAAAUGAAUGACCACAUAAGAAAACUUAAGCUCUAUUUAAAUUGGUUUCAAGAAGUUGAAGAAGGCAGGCCAUAUCAAGGAAAAGGAAAAGGAAAAGUUAUGUAAUACAUUAGAAUCUGCCGAGAGAAAAUGCACAAAAAUAGGUAAAUUUUGCACCUUAAGUUUUUACAAAACUCUAAUGAGAAAUUAAUCUUCUAAUGUACUUCAUGUUCUUUCAGAGAUGGCUAUGAAAAAAAAUGGAGGUGGACGGGACUCCACCUUGACCAGCAUUUGAAAUAUGUUUGGUAAAAGUAAUUCAAGGAUAAUUUUGCUUGGAGUUAGAAAUGCUAUUUUUUUUAAACCUUAUUUUCCAUGUUUUAUCAUGAUUAUCGUCACAAAUGUGAAAAGAUGUUUUAGAGAUUGGUCAAAACUAAUGAAGUUCUUUUUUGUCCAUAAUAUGCAUGCAGAUAUCUGGUACCUGCUGAUUUGACUGUUGGGCAGUUUGUCUAUGUGGUCCAGAAGAGGAUAAAGCUUGGUGCUGAGAAGGCCAUCUUCAUCUUUGUCAAGAACAUUUUUCCACCCACUGGAUGAAUGGACUGGUGAGCAGAAACUACAGUAUAAUGAUGUUCCCAAAGAUAUUGAACCUGAAGAAAUUCUUUCAAUAGGAAACUAUGUUGUAUCAAUAACAUGGCCAGAUGGAUUUACCCAGAUUGCCCCUUAUGAUCAGUUGCAAACGAUAGAGCGCUUAGUUGAUGUUCCUCAACCUACUCCUGCCUAGGUUAAUAGGUACACUGUUAUCAUACAUGGAAAACCCUAGGAACUAUCUGCUACAGAUUGACACAUGAUAGGGCUUGUUGGGUGCAGCUUAUUGGAGUUUGUUAUACCUUUUUAUUUUGAAAAUAUGGAUAUUUCCCAAGUAGCAGUUUACUUCUUUUGGAAUACAGAUGUGUGAAGAUUGCGAUUUACUUUUGUUUUUUGUUAUCCACGGAAAAAUCAUGAGGGAAACUUUUGUAUUUGGUUUACGUUAUUUUAAAUUGUGAACAACAUUAUGUAUUUAAACAUUGUGUAUGUAUUAUGCAAUAUUGUGUAGUGGGAUAAUUUUGCUAAUGUGUUGUAAUGAAUGAAUGCAAGAAUAUUUGUA